AUUCCCACAGCCAAACCUACCUGCAUCUGCAUAUAUCCUUGAAUUCUUUUCCUUGUUAAAGUUGAAGAAAUGUUUGCCUUUUACAAAGGUCAAACCCUCAUUUGCACUCUGUAUCCAACUCCUCUCAAUUCCUGAAGGACUUUGCUCCUUUUCUGUCGGCCUCAUCUCCUGAGUCAUGAAGUGACAUCUCUUUCCUGGACCAUUCUUACCAAUUUAUAAACAAGAUGUACCAUCUUCCAAAUCCAGGGUGGUACCUCCCUUGACAAGACAUUCAUGUUUCAUAGCCUUCUCUUUACCCGUUUCCUUUGCUCCCUUUUACAGGGAAACUUCUCCAAAUAGUUACCUAACUGUUGCCUCCACUUCCUAUCCUGCCAUUCAAAUCUCACUGCAAUCCAAUCUGCCCUUUGCCUAAUGUUCAAAUGAGGUCAUUAAGGUGACCAUGAAUCUCUAUGCUGUCACUCACUCAACCUCCUGGCAGCAUCCAAUAUAGUUGCCAACUUCCUCCUUCUGGUUUUCUUUCCAAUUAACUGGACUUUCCUUUUCGGUCAUUUAUUUUAAUUAUUUUGCUUAAUUAUUACUUAUGCAUCUCAUCACUAAUCUAU
rnacentral:lncRNA from 10 species